AGAACGAACGCUGGCGGCAGGCCUAACACAUGCAAGUCGAACGGGCGUAGCAAUACGUCAGUGGCAGACGGGUGAGUAACGCGUGGGAACGUACCCUUUGGUUCGGAAUAACCCGGGGAAACUCGGGCUAAUACCGGAUACGUCCUGCCCCUUAAACAAGGGUGGGGGAAAGAUUUAUCGCCGAAGGAUCGGCCCGCGUCGGAUUAGCUAGUUGGUGGGUAACAGCUCACCAAGGCGACGAUCCGUAGCUGGUCUGAGAGGAUGAUCAGCCACACUGGGACUGAGACACGGCCCAGACUCCUACGGGAGCAGCAGUGGGGAAUAUUGGACAAGUGGGCGAAAGCCUGAUCCAGCAUGCGCGUGAGUGAAGACGCCGUAGGUGUAAAGCUUCUUCGAGGACGGGAAGAUAAGUGGAACCGGUACCGACGAAGGAAGAACGGCCCGACUAACGUCGUCGACAGCACGCCGACGGUAAUCGAGACGGACGGCGUGACGAAGGCCGACUAGACG
rnacentral:rRNA from 1 species